UGUGUGUAUGUGUACAUGAGUGUGUGUGUGUGUGUAUGUGUAUAUGAGUGUGUGUGUGUGUGUGUGUAUGUGUAUAUGAGUGUGUGUGUGGAUAUAUGAGUGUGGUGUGUGUGUGUGUAUGUGUAUCUGAGUGUGCAUGUGUGGGUGUGUCUAUGUGUAUCUGAGUGUGCGUGUGUGUGUGUGUG